rnacentral:rRNA from 1 species
GACGAACGCUGGCGGCGUGCUUAACACAUGCAAAGUCAGGGGGUGGGGCAACCCAGUCACCGGCGAACGGGUGCGUAACACGUGAGCGACCUGCCCUGGUGUGGGGGAUAGCCGGCCCAACGGGCCCGGGUAAUACCGCAUACGACUCUUUGGAGGCAUCUCCGGGGAGUGAAGCCUUUGGGGGCACCAGGAGGGGCUCGCGGCCUAUCAGCUAGUUGGCGAGGUAACGGCUCACCAAGCGANGACGGGUAGCUGGUCUGAGAGGAUGGCCAGCCACAUUGGGACUGA